rnacentral:sRNA from 1 species
GUGGUAAAGAGCUUCCAAUAUCGGCGAGCAAGGCGAAACCUUUGAGAAACUCCUUAUCCCAAGCCAUCAAUCCAGACCUCAAGCUCAUUUAGAUAAUUAGUACACAGAAAACAAAGUACAGAAAGGACAUCUCCUGAAAGAAUGAUACAACACCAAAUUAGAACCAAUCCCUCGGCUAGAGAAGCUGACAGACAGAAAGUGUAUGAGUCAGAA